rnacentral:lncRNA from 10 species
GCACAGAGGAGGAAAGGAAGCAGCCCCUCCCCCUCAUUGAGCCCCCACCUGGGAGAGGAUGGAGUGAAGGAGAAGCAGGCUCCCGGGCCUCUGACUGUCCUCACUUUGUUUCCAGCCAGCCCCCUGGUUCUCUGGGCCUCUAUUUAUUUCCUCAUCAGUAAAAGGAGGCCAUAAUCCUUGUCCUGGCUUCCUCUUGGAGUUUCGUAAGAGUUCAAUGAACCCAAGGACGUGAAAGGUGUUAUGCAAAUGAGAGACAUUAUGAGUUAUCUAUUGGGAGGCUUGGAUCCUGAGCUUGGCUCUGUCUCCAGGAAAGAGGCCUCAAGUUUCCUUCUGCAGCAGCGCAGCAUACGGGGUGCACAGUGAUCCACCCAAACGGCAGCUAUGCUGCCGGGGCUGGUGAGACGUGGUCAUUCACAAGGCAGCUCGCUGUGCUGCACAGCAGGUUGCUGCCCGGAGUCGCCAUGAAGGAAUGUGAUGCAGCCUAUUGGAGGAGAACCAAACCCCACCACCACCCCAGAAAGCCAUACCAGCUGCCGACAUGUACAUGGGCUCAUCGGGGGUUUUCCAGGCCCACUGAUGUUCCAGCUGAGCACAGCUGCCGGGUUGCCCACGCGCCACAUGAGGCAGAGCUUGC